AGGGCCGAGAGACCACCCCACAGCUCCUGCCCAGGUGGGAUGAGAAGGGCAGCACGAAGAUAAAAUACGUUAAAGACAGCCAGAGACUUGGAGACUUGUAGCAGAGGAAUAUCAACUCAAUAUAAAGAGGGACUUCCAUCCGUCUUGGAUGUCUCCAGACCCAAG